rnacentral:rRNA from 1 species
AUGGCGAGGAAGGAGGCAUGGAGGAGGAGCGGCUUGGUGAGGCAGUAUACCAGGUCCAGCGUGCCGAGGAUGAGGUGGACGGCCGAGCUCGAGAGCAGCUUCGUGGGAGCCGUCGAGCGCCUCGGCGGCCGGGACAGCGCCAAGGUGACUCCGAAGCGCAUUCUCAAGCUGAUGGAUGUCUCAGGGCUCACCAUAUCCCACGUCAAGAGCCACCUUCAGAUGUACAGAUGCACACCGCAUGACAAUGGAAAGAAAGAGACGCGGCCACAACUCGAUCUCAAGAAUCGCCCAUUUGCCACGGACGAGCGAGGCUCCGAAGGACUCACAUUCCCACCCAUGAAAAGGGCCAAGGCAGGGACAGAGGUUGCAGCCUCAUGCAAGAGCAUGCAAGGGAACAGUGGUAUGAGCGUGAUGAUUCCUGGCAACCGUUGCUACAUUGAUGAUUACGUGCAAGUGCAAGCAAUGUCCAUGGACAGGAUGAGGAGGAGCGUGAACCAGGGCCUCCGACUCCGACGGCGCAGCGCUGCUGCUGCAAGCCUCCAGGAAUUAGGACCCUGGGUGCAAGGCCAAGAGGCCUCUAAGGAUAGCAAGCCGGAAGCAGUCCGUCGUCUGAACCAUACGACGAGACAGUUACCUUCCAUGGAGAGCUACGAGAGUGGGUGCUUCCUGUUCAGCAGUGCAACGAGCGGAGAAGAUGAACCGGCUUACUUGGGGGGCAACGGAUGCUCGCCGUCGCCCUGCUUCGCCGUGGAGCAGAGAGCCGUGAAAGAUGUCUCCCCCUGGCCCAGCGAGAGCAGCUGCGUGCUCUCGCCGUCGUCCAGGAGCUUCAGCGACUGCUCGGGGCCUCCGGGCUGCAGCUUUGCUGGGCAGGGGAUUAGCCUGGAACUCUCCCUGUCGAUGCCUGGAUUGUAG